CCGGACUCAGAAGGAACCCGUCCUCAUCCGGGGAACGACGGAUAGUGUGAAAGUAAAAGAAAGUUCGUUAUGGUUUUAUAUGAAGGCUCUUUGUUGAACUAGUCCACUGUUCACUAAAGGAGACCCGAGUGCAGAACUGUAUGAGGUAAGUGCAGUCCCGAGGCCAUCGCAGCAACCGUUACCACAGCAACCACAGCGAGAACAUCCAUGUGGAAUUGAGGUCCAAAACCAUUUCUGUGGAACUUCAACUUAAAAUCAUGUGUAGCUCGACACGUCAAUGAGUUAGUCAGUCAGUGAGCGUUAACUGGUUAUUGCUUAAUGUAGUUCUUGGAGUUCAGCCUACUGUAUGUGUGUAGAUUCACUUAUUCCUACACCUCAGUGCCACAUUCUGUUUAAUAACUGCUGCGUACUCAUUACAUGAGGUGUUCAUCACAUCACUGUAAUACGCUAUGCUAUGUUGAGCUGUUAUAUGCUGCACUAUGGGUUAUAGUGUAAUAACAGAGACUCGGGGUUCGGUAUAAUAAUUCGGUAUGUCCACUCUCCAGGAGGCCAGAUCUGUGAGGAGCUGAUGAUCUUGUUGAGGUGUGCACAGGUUCUCUCAUUGUUAGUGAGCUCUGUAACUCCUUCGGUGUUGUAGCUGGACAUUUCCCUGACGGUCGGCCUUCUUCCCUGUGCGUUCGGUUUGGAAGGAGGGCCUGGAAUUUGCCUUGCAGCUGGCGUCCGCUCUCUCCUGCCAGACAGCGGCCCGGUGGAAACGCCACCAGACGAAACCCAGACGGGCACCACCGUACCAAGUUCAUGUGCGCUUGUGGCAAGACACGGGUAUUGCAGUGGGUAGCGCUGUCAGCCAGGCAGUGGUCCACUGAGAUGACGCCGUGGUCGAGGAUGGACGCAGUGCGGCAGAGGACAUCGGGCGACGCUCAGACGCCACACAGAGCCUGGCCCAUGACCCAGCGUUCCAGCCUCUCAGGUGAUGUGCGGGCGGAUGGACUUUGAAAAGUCUCAGCGUUGCCAUGACGACUGAUUAACUCCAUCAUUCAAUGCUUAGCAACAGUGACCAGAAAAACAUCUGUCCUGAAACAGUGAACAUGAUGAACUACGAUAAGAGCAGCUUCAUUACCUACCCCUCUCUCUCUCUCUCUCUCUCUCUCUCUCUCUCACACACACACACACACACACCGAAUUCUCUACUCAUAACAGAAACUGAACAGCAGCUUUAUUAUAAAAGUAAAAGAUUAAAAUCUGAUUAUUUAUCGGAUAAUCAGACGUGUGUUUAUCUGUGCUUUGGUGAUUGAUUCUCUCACUCUCCGCUUUAGAUUGAAGCAUCACGUCAAAUUCACUCCAGACUUCUGCGUGAUAACAUAUACCCUCUGAGGAAACAUUCUGAUGGGCGUGGCCUCUUCCGGGACAGGUCCGCCCCCAUACACGGUGCACAAGGGUCGAACUGAUCGCUUUGAAGAAGAUGAAAAGAUCUACAGAUCAUCAAACCAGCAGCUGAGGGAAUCUCCCACAGUUCCACAGACUGGUUCUGAACGCGUUCCCGUGCACUAAAGACAUCAUCGACACACUUCAUGUCGGGUUUUUCUUUAAAUUCUUAACAAGUUCGCAUGCCAUUUAGGCAGAAGAGUAACACACGGUAACACCAUGCCCUCAUCCAUGAUGAGUCUUCCUGUGGAGUCAGAGCAGAGGGCCGGAGCGGAGUGUUACCCCAACACAGUCCUUAUCCCGUAUAAAUCGAGUCACAUGGCAUCGUAGAACAGUUCAAUAAUAAACAUGGCGGACAGAUCGGUCAUACCGUUAUAAUAUACAGUACAGCAGGACCAACGAGCAGUAAAUAAACCAACAAACACUAAAUAAACCAACAAACACUAAAUAAACCAACAAACACUAAAUAAACCAACGAGCAGUAAAUAAACCAACAAACACUAAAUAAACCAACAAACACUAAAUAAACCAACAAACAC